rnacentral:rRNA from 1 species
UGCCAGCCGCCGCGGUAAUACGAAAGGUGCAAGCGUUGUUCGGAUUUACUGGGCGUAAAGAGAUCGUAGGUGGUUUAUUAAGUCGGAUGUGAAAUCCCGGGGCUCAACCCCGGAAGUGCAUUGGAAACUGGCGAACUUGAGUACGGGAGAGGAAAGUGGAAUUCCGAGUGUAGGGGUGAAAUCCGUAGAUAUUCGGAGGAACACCAGUGGCGAAGGCGGCUUUCUGGACCGAUACUGACGCUGAGACGCGAAAGCGUGGGGAGCAAACAGGAUUAGAUA